rnacentral:tRNA from 1 species
AAUUAAUGAGCUUGAAUAAGCUUUUACCUUGAAAGUAAACGAAAGAAUAGAAUUCUAUUAAUUU